UACGAAGGGGGCUAGCGUUGUUCGGAAUUACUGGGCGUAAAGCGCGCGCAGGCGGUUCUUCAAGUCAGAGGUGAAAGCCCAGAGCUCAACUCUGGAAUGGCCUUUGAGACUAGAGAACUUGGGUACGGGAGAGGUGAGUGGAAUUCCCAGUGUAGAGGUGAAAUUCGUAGAUAUUGGGAAGAACACCGGUGGCGAAGGCGGCUCACUGGCUCGUUUCUGACGCUCAGGCACGACAGCGUGGGGAUCAAACAGGG
rnacentral:rRNA from 1 species